AGCGAACGCUGGCGGCAGGCCUAACACAUGCAAGUCGAACGAACUCUUCGGAGUUAGUGGCGGACGGGUGAGUAACACGUGGGAACGUGCCUUUUGGUUCGGAAUAACUCAGGGAAACUUGUGCUAAUACCGAAUGUGCCCUUCGGGGGAAGGAUUUAUCGCCAUUAGAGCGGCCCGCGUCUGAUUAGCUAGUUGGUGAGGUAAAGGGACUCACCAAGGCUACGAUCAGUAGCUGGUCUGAGAGGAUGACCAGCCACAUUGGGACUGAGACACGGCCCAAACUCCUACGGGAGGCAGCAGUGGGGAAGUCUUGCGCAAUGGGCGAAAGCCUGACGCAGCCAUGCCGCGUGUAUGAUGAAGGUCUUAGG
rnacentral:rRNA from 1 species